UGCCAGCAGCCGCGGUAAUACGGAGGGCGCAAGCGUUGUUCGGAAUCACUGGGCAUAAAGAGCACGUAGGCGGUCUAUUAAGUUGGGUGUGAAAGCCCUCGGCUCAACCGGGGAACUGCAUCCAAUACUGGUAGACUAGAGGAAGGCAGGGGUGAGUGGAACUCCAGGUGGAACGGUGAAAUGUGUAGAUAUCUGGAGGAACACCGGUGGCGAAAGCGGCUCACUGGGCCUUUCCUGACGCUGAGGUGCGAAAGCUAGGGUAGCAAACGGGAUUAGAUA
rnacentral:rRNA from 1 species